UCAGAGGCGAUGAAGGACGUGCUAAUCUGCGAUAAGCGCCGGUAAGGUGAUAUGAACCGUUAUAACCGGCGAUUUCCGAAUGGGGAAACCCAGUGUGACUCGUCACACUAUCAUUAACUGAAUCCAUAGGUUAAUGAGGCGAACCGGGGGAACUGAAACAUCUAAGUACCCCGAGGAAAAGAAAUCAACCGAGAUUCCCCCAGUAGCGGCGAGCGAACGGGGAGGAGCCCAGAGCCUGAAUCAGCAUGUGUGUUAGUGGAAGCGUCUGGAAAGGCGCGCGAUACAGGGUGACA
rnacentral:rRNA from 1 species